AUGGUGAGCGUUGGGGGCGAGGGUGGCCGGCCCGGCUCGGGGGAGAUGAACGCGCGCUGCGUAACAAGGGGAAGAGCUGAUGCGUGCAGCUAUUCAUGCGGGGACGUGGACGUGCCGUUCCCGUUUGGAAUUGGCCCGAAUGGUUGCUACCGGCCAGGGUUCGACCUCACCUGCGACCGCAGCAGUAACCCGCCGCGGCUGUUCCUCGAUAGGGAGGUUGGCGUCGAGAAGAUCUCCCUCCUGGACAACACAGUGCGCGUCCUCGUCGACGGUGCGACCGCGUCGAUGACCAGCAAGUCUGUCGGUUCUUCCGGCGGCUUUGACUAUUUCUUCACGGGUCGUGAAGCCACGCCCUACUCACUUUCGACCAACAACAACGAGCUCAUCCUCGUAGGGUGCAACGUCCAGGCGUCUCUGUUCGGAGACGGUGAUGACCAGGCCACCAUCAGCGGUUGCACCUCCUUCUGCCCCGUCAACAGGUCAACCGGCAGUACCUACGCCUCGAGGCAGGUACCGUCUGGCGGCAGCGACAGGUAUUGCUAUGGCAUCGGCUGCUGCCAGGCGCGCAUCUCCAUAUCCGCGAACAACACACCCGCAUCGUGGAUGAUCACCAGAAUAGAUGAGAACCAGGAAACGCAGGGCAAAAUUUUGUCGCCGCCUGUGGCCAUGCUGAUCGCGGCGGUGGGGGUGGUUCGACCAGCAGCAAAAUGGGAGGUCAUGGAAGACUUGGCUACGUGGGCGGCCGACGCCAAGUUGCAGCAUCCGACGACGACGGCGACUUGUCACGCGGAGGUAGCCAGAAAUAUCUGCUUGAGCAGGCACAGCCAUUGCAAACUUGGGAGAAGAGGCUAUUUGUGCCAGUGCAGCAAUGGCUACGUCGGCAACCCCUGCAAAAAAGAGGGAUGCAAAGGUAUAUACAUCAGCGUCGGAGUUGCUAUUGGGGCUGCUGUCGUACUUUCGUUCUUCAUUGCAUUCUGA
rnacentral:rRNA from 1 species